rnacentral:sRNA from 1 species
AAUAAGAGUUUUCCUUAUAGAAUGCCUCUUUCAAAUCAUACCAGUAUGGCAGCCAGCUUCAGGUUCUGGGAACACUGUUAGCACUCGUAAGCACUUUAUUACAUGCCAGAGACCUUAUCAAUUGUCUUCUAUUUUACUUUACCCCCCUCACAGUUAAGCUGCUUCUUAACCAUCCCUUAUGGCGGGUGUAUAGUAUAAGGCUCAGUAGAGCCGGUAGCUUGCUGAAGAUUACAGGCAUCACAAAUGGCACAGCCUGAUGGCAAACCAACAUCUAUCUGUCCCCACUCCUUUCUUCCCAUAACUCCCCAGUGUCAAAUAGGGUCCUGUGUCAGCAUUUAGAGGUUGGUUUCUGCAACUGGAAGCUGGUUGGCUCUUUGGUUAUGGUGUUUGGGGAAAACCUCUCUAUUUGGCAGGCUCUUAAAGGAAUUUCUUGACUGAUAAUUUUUUUCCCAAAUAAAUUCAAAAGCGCCAACUUCUAACUCCUACUUAGAAAUCAGCAUCCGGUUUGCCACUCGAUAGUAACAGAAGUGGGUAUUUUCCAGGAUAAAGCUAAGGUCACGAGCCCUGUCACAGGUCUCAGAAAUAUGGACGUCUGCUAGUCAACAGAGCCGACAAACAGCACGCGCAGCUCCUGAAGUGAUGCAGGAUUGUAACCGGGAAACAGAAAGAGCAAACCAUCAAUCUCUCUUCUGCUCCCGCAGCUCCCACACCCUCGGCAAACCAGCUCUUUCCUGGAUCUGCCUCCUAUUUCCCAGUUGCUCUUUGAGGAAUCCUAUGGUUCAUGGUCUCUAGACCCCAUCCCACGCCUACAGAGAUUCUGCCUUGUUGCUGUUGGAGAGACUGAGAUGUACUCUAGCAAGUUUAACCCAGAACACUGGCCAACGCCCUGGGCACUGACCUUCACAUCCACGAAAGAGAGACAUGCUGAGCCUUACUGUGCUCUCACAGCAUAGGGUGGAGUGAAAACCUCAGACAUCUUUCACACGAACCACCUCAGGAUCCCUAUCUGUCCAAAUUGCAGACCAGGCCAGAGGUUCGGACAGAAGGCUGUACCUACCGGUAAUCUGGCUGGAAUUAAGACCGGGAUUCCCAUCACCAAGGGAGACCAAGCAGCGAGGGGAGGGGGCACAGCUGGCUUCACAGUAAGUAUGUUCCUAACAGAUUGAGCCUGUUCAAUAACAGACUGGUAUUACAGACUCCUUGAUAUUUCAGUUAUUCAAACACAGGCUACAGGGCCAUCUGUCAUGGAUAGGAUAGCCAGCACUGCAUCUCUAGGUGUAACACUAGACUACUUGAUUCUGUAGCUUCCUGUCAACUCUCGGGUUUUCUGCUGGCAUUUGCUGCUCACUGACAGCUCCAUGUGUCACCUGUGACCAUGCGCUGCAUCUGGGUACCUCUGCCAUACUUAGCAGAAAGCCAGUUAAGCAGGGGGCUCCCCAGGAUGCUGUAUGUGUGUCUGAAACAUCGAAUCUAAUGCCAAAUGAAGGACAUACCAGGGGCUUCUACAUAAAAUAUUCCUCUAAGUUGAGGGAAGAUAAGAGGAAGAAGGAGAAACAAAAAUAAAAAUGAGAAAAAGAAACUAAUUUAGGGCUACCAGCUCAUAAAAUAGCAGGGUCGUACAUAACUGGACACCAGAACCAAAUGCCCUUUCCCUUAAUGCAACCAAAUCAACAGCUCAAGAGCAUAAUAUCAAUUCUGUGUGUGCCAACAAUGUUUAAAUACAGAGAAAGGAAGCAUUGAAAACAAUAAUAAUGGCUAAAGACGAAUUUCCUAGAAAUAAAUGGGGUACCCUGCCUUUGAUUCCCCUUUCUUCCUCCUUCAAAGAACAGGGGGUUUGUUGGGUUUGUUUGCUUUGAGUCAGAGUGCCACUAAUAGUCCAGGCCAGCCUUCAACUUGCAUUGAUCCUCUUGUCUCGGCCACUUGCAUGCUGAGAUUACAAGCAUGCAUCUCAACAUCUGGCUUGAGAAUGGAUUCUGGGGAUGGAGAGUUGGCUCAGUGGUUAAGAGCUCUUGCAAAGGAGCUGGGUUUGAGUCUCAGUAUCCAUGUGGGGGCUCAUCAGCUCCUCAAGCAUCAGAUGUGCAUGGGGUACACAGACACACAUGCAGACAAAACACUCAUACAAACAAAAUAUUUUUAAGUGAUAAAUUUUGACAGGAGGUACUGGUGCAUGACUUUAAUCCCAGCACUCUGAAGGGAUCUCUGAGGCUAGGCUGGUCUAUAGGGUGAGUUCCAGGACAGCCAGGGCUACACUGAGAAACCCUGUCUUUAAAAACAGAUGGAUUCUGGAUAAGGAUAAUGAAACUUCUAAGAAUACAAGAGCACAGAACAAGAAAGAGUGGGUGGAAUGAGUAAAUAGACAGCCUGCAGAGGAAUGUCAGGAGGAAAGUUUCUCUAGAAAGUUCUACACUCUACAAUACCAACACUGCCAAGAAGAGAAGAGAAAAUGCUGCCCGCAUUGGCGUUGGGCUUUCCAUGACAAGGAGGAGGAGGAAGGAAGGAGGGAUGGGUAUCUGGUAUUGUAUCAGAAUCACUUGAGCAGUAUGUUGGGGCUUAUCAGAAGGGAAGAUGUAAAACAACUCAACACACAGAGCAAGCUCUUUGGGUGGAGUGAGCAGCAGGAGCUGUGGAGAGUUUCAACCCAAGCUCCACACGAACCACUCUAGAGAACAGCACAAGGGCUAAAACUCUUGGAUUCCAUCUAUCCUUUUCUUCCUUCUCCUGGCUGAGAGCAGAUGGCCCCUGGAAGGGGUGGGUCAAGUCUAGACAAUAAACAUCUGGACAGACUCUCACUACAAUUCCAUCCUAAACUGGUACUCCAAACCUCGAUAAUUCCCAGCUGGAGGGACAGAAAUAUCUUAAUUUGGCAAAAUAAACUCCAGUUUUGGACUCUGAACAAAGUUGUAGAAAAGAAGCAGAAAGCCUACAAAUGCUGCAGCUGACAGCGCUGUCUGAGCUUCCUCUUUCCUCCCACUCAAGCAGCAAAGAAGUAUCGAUGAGCACCCAGUCUGCAGUACUGAGAGAAGAGGACAAAGAGAUCUCAGAUGCGGCAAGAGGGAGUGAAUGAAAACUAAGCCUCCUCCCCCUACACAUUCAAGGAAAGAGGAGACAUCACAGAGGAUGAAAUGAAAACCAAUGACAUGGCAGCUAGACAAAAAUACUAGAGUGGAAAGAGGAAGGAAAGACGGAAGGUAGAAAGGAAGGAAGAAUGGAAACACACAGGAGGCAGAUGUCAGGAUGGACACAUAAAUGCAAAGAACACAGGAGGAAAGAGAAAAAGUGCAUUUCUGUGCAAAAUAUAUACUGUAACUGCUUAACUCUAGGGAAAACUCGAAUUUGAAAAAAAUGAGAAUAAGAAAUCAGGACAAGAUAAGAAAGAUCACACAUAAGGGACAAAAGUUUUAUUUAAGGAAAUAAAUUAAAGACCAAAAGUAGAAUGAAUCAGAGAUUGAAAAAAACAGAACUAGUGUGUUAAAAAAAUGAAGACAUAUAAUAUGCAGUUUUACUUCAAUUAGUAAGGAGGACAAGAUAGAUUGUCUGAUCAUAAAGAAUGUAAAGAGGAAAAGAAAGAUUAAAGAAGGCAGGUCCUAAGUUGAGCCCUCUUGAUCCUCUCAUUGAAGAAAUAAUAUAUUUAAAGACAUACUAGAAGAAACGUUGUCCUCAGUGGAGAGGAGAGAUGAACUGGGAGGUUGACUGUACAUACGAUGCUUUUCUUAUCUUUUCUUUUAAAGGCAUGUCUGUAAAGAAAUUGCACUGUUCUUAUUCCUAACAGGGGAAAAACACACAUGCAGGGAACAUGAAGGUUAGUGGACACAGGACACCAGAGGGCCUUGAGAUUCUCCAUAAUGCUGAAUGCAAUGGGAUGGUGUUUCACAGAAAGGUGUUAGCCAAGAAUUUUAUAGUUACGCAGGCUAUUGCUAAAUAAGUUUUCAAAUAUGCUAGAACUCAGGACACAGAAUACUUCUGGUGCUCCCCAGGGAAACUACUAGAUAAUGAAGUCCAGCUAAACAAAACAUAAAUCAAAAUAAAAUGCUUAAGGAUGGUGAGCCACAAGGAGGGAACUCGCAGUGAGCGUGAAACCCUUUUAUGAGUUUGCACAGCUGGCCGACUGUGAAAGCUGGUUACAGAGUAGAAUGGAAAUGUUACAACCUCAACGACACAGAGAAAAAACAGCAUCUAGUCAGGCAGAGCGGGGAAGCUGGAAGAAAUCGCCGGCAAAGAAAAUAUGUAAUGAGAUGUUCUGUUUUUUUCUGCUUUCUUGAUACUCCAGCCUUAUGGUCUUUGAUUUUGUAAAGACUGCCUCUCCAGGGAUAGCUCAUCUCAGGAGACAGGAGGAAAACUCUCCUUUGAGUACACCUUUGACAUCGAAACCAACCCAAUCAGCCUAGAACACAUAUUUCUAAAUGUCUCCUUUUUCCAACUCUCACAUACCAAGGCAAUAUCAAGUAUCCAACAAUUAGACGCCUGUCUCCUCUCCAGAGCCUGUUAAAAUUUCUCAAACCAUCUGACUCUAAGCUUACUCAGGGUACCUACUAUGCUCAGCUCACUCCUUGCCAUGAAAACCCCAGUAAAAGUCCUUCCCACCCACCUUCUACCUCCUAGCUGACCCUGGUGCUUUUCCAUUUGGCCCAGAGGUUAUACUGUGCCCUCUGUGUUAGGGAAUCUGUGAAUAUAAACUCCUCUCGUGACUAGUAUUUCUGGGUCUUGCGAUACAUGACCAGUGCUAUGCUGGGUAAAGAGUUUAGAACAAUUACUCCAAACCAAAGCAUUAAUGCCAGAAAAAUCCACAACUCUAAACCCUUAAUACAUUUCCUAAUACAUUAGCCAA